rnacentral:rRNA from 1 species
GCCUAAGACAUGCAAGUCGUACGAGGAGGCCCUUGAACUCUGUACUUGUAUAGAGCGAUUGGAUUUCCUCCUAGUGGCGAAAGGGUGAGUAACACGUGGGUAAUCUACCUCAGAGACUGGGAUAACUACUGGAAACGGUAGCUAAUACCGGAUGAUAUAUACAAUGAUACGUUAUUGUAUAGUAAAAGAUGCCUUUAAAGCAUUACUUUGAGAUGAGCCUGCGCUGUAUUAGCUAGUUGGUAAGGUAACGGCUUACCAAGGCAACGAUGCAUAGCCGACCUGAGAGGGUGAUCGGCCACACUGGGACUGAGACACGGCCCAGACUCCUACGGGAGACAGCAGUUAGGGAUAUUCGUCAAUGGGGGCAACCCUGAACGAGCAAUGCCGCGUGAGUGAUGAACCAGUUCUUUGGAUUGUAAAACUCUGUUGUUAGGGAAGAACGACCUAUAUAGGAAAUGAUAUAGGAGUGACUGUACCUUUCAAGAAAGCUCCGGCUAACUACGUGCCAGCAGCUGC